AUUGAACGCUGGCGGCAGGCUUAACACAUGCAAGUCGAGCGGGGGGAGGUAGCUUGCUACCGGACCUAGCGGCGGACGGGUGAGUAAUGCUUAGGAAUCUGCCUAUUAGUGGGGGACAACAUCUCGAAAGGGAUGCUAAUACCGCAUACGUCCUACGGGAGAAAGCAGGGGAUCUUCGGACCUUGCGCUAAUAGAUGAGCCUAAGUCGGAUUAGCUAGUUGGUGGGGUAAAGGCCUACCAAGGCGACGAUCUGUAGCGGGUCUGAGAGGAUGAUCCGCCACACUGGGACUGAGACACGGCCCAGACUCCUACGGGAGGCAGCAGUGGGGAAUGUUGGACAAUGGGGGGAACCCUGAUCCAGCCAUGCCGCGUGUGUGAAGAAGGCCUUAUGGUUGUAAAGCACUUUAAGCGAGGAGGAGGCUACUUUAGUUAAUACCUAGAGAUAGUGGACGUUACUCGCAGAAUAAGCACCGGCUAACUCUGUGCCAGCCGCCGCGGUAA
rnacentral:rRNA from 1 species